UUGUAUAAAUAUACCACAACUUCUUUAACCAGCCACCUGUUGUUGGACAUUUAGGUUGUUUCCAUGUCUUGGCUGUUGUAAAUAGUGCUGCUACAAACAUUUGGGUGCAUGUAUCUUUUCAAGUUAAAGUUCCCUCUGAAUACAUGCCCAGGAGUUGGGCUGCUGGAUCAUUUG